GGGGCCGUGGUCUAGCAUGGUCUAUGACCUCGCAGUAAACGCUGGAAAUCCUGGGUUCGAAUCCCAGCGGCCCCA
rnacentral:tRNA from 1 species